UAUUUUUUGUGUCCCCAAGUAAAAAGAGGAAAACACCCUCACAUUUCUCUUACUGCUGUUUCUCACCUCCUGUUUCGUUGUUUAUCCGACUUGCUGAGCCUCUCUCAACUCUCUCUCCUCACUUUGCUAGGGUUCUUCCUCGCCGUCUUCCCGCAGAUAUGGUCUUCGAUCUCCUCCAUUCACAACCGCCCCGACGGCGGCGACUCCCAUGAUCGCCAAAUUGUCGUCAACAGAGGGUGGGUUCCUCUCCCUUUCUCUCUCCUUCCUUCUCUUCCCAUCGUCGUGCGCUUCCGGUCUCUUACCAUCACCGCCGUCGCCACCAUCAGGAAAAAUUGAUGGAAAUAAGUCAACCUUUGUCCCAUUUAUUAAUAAUAAGUCUAACUUUUAAUUAUAUCUGGUUAAGUUAACCUUUUAUAUCCAUUUAUUUUUAACAAGUUGAUUAACCGGUAACCGGCUAAAUUAAUUGUGAACCGGUAAACUUUCACUUUCCACUCCCAAAAUGUGUCUGCGUGGCAUUAACUUGUGACAAAUACCCACCCACUUUACAAUUUGCUCACUUAUACGACAACAAAUAGAAAAAAUAAAAUAAAAUAAGAGCAUUCAGUAUUGUUUAUCGAUCGUCGUUUUCUGCCAUAGCCAAUAAGCUUCACCCACCUUGGCAUCUUCUUCUUCAUUGAUGUAAUCAUCGAGAAAAAGUGAUAGAGAUGCAACAAUAAAAGAUCAAGAGAAAUUAAUUCAUAAUCCAAGCAAAAUUCGCAGGUGUAAAUUGCUAACCCUAACUAUUUUGAAUUAUGGGUUAAUUUUGUUACUUAAAAGGGAAAUUUGCUUAAUCAUAGGAAUUAAAUUCUUAUUCUUGGGUAAAUUUCGGUGUUGGUGGGAGGAUUAUUAACAAAAUUUCAUACUCCAUUGAUUUGGGUUAAUUGAAUUGAAUUGGGGCUCAAUUGAUUGGCAUGGCCGUAGCUAGAGUACCCAACCAAAUGGCUACUACAUACCCAAACCAUUUUCACACCCAUGGUAGCUGUUGUGGGCAUUGUGGCAAUCGUUAAAAUGGUAUAAAAUUUUAAUAAAUGCAAUUGUUAAGCUUUUUUAAGUGCAAUAAUUUCACAAAAUUACCAAAAACAGGGGAUUUUUCUCUUCCAUUCUUUAAUAAUUCUUUUUUUAGUUAAACUUACCUCGUUGUAUUACUGAAUUGCACGUUAUCGUGAAAUCUAGUGUGUUUGAUGAUGUUACUCUGAAGUUUUGGCAUGAUGGGAGAUUUUUAUACUCCAUAUUGGAAAAAAAACUGGAAAUACAAGAAAAAGCGGAAAAUUUAGUGGAGGGAUGAAGUUUAAUGGAGGGAUUAUGAAGAAAGGUGAAGUAGAAGAGGGGCGCUGAAGAUGAAGAAAUUAAAAGAAGAGGAAGGGAAAAAAAAGAUAGAAUUAAAUAAACAAAAAAAAUUUAAAAGAACCCAAAAAGUUUAAAAUCACGCAACAGAUAAUUUUUUCACUGCCAUGUAGGGAUGGCAGCGGGUCCAGGACCCUACCCGGACCCUGUCAGACCCUACCCUAAAAUUAGGGUAUGGAUCUUUAUGUUUUUAGACCCUAUAGGGUAAGGGUAGGGUAUGGGCAUAUGCUGUUUUUUUUAGGGUAGGGUAAGGGUCUUAAUUUUUCAGACCCGUACCCUACCCAUACCCUACCCGCGGACCCUUUAGACCCAUACCCUACCCAUACCCUAUAUCUAGACCCGCUUAAAUUUUGUUAUUUUUAUGUACUUCACUUUUUUUGUUGGAUCUUGAUGAUGAAGUAGAUGAUGAUAUGGACGAUAACUACUACUAAAGUACUAAAUGGAUGCCUAUUUAGUAACAUUAAUGUUGUGUAGUUAAGAAUGUGGGAUUUUGUAAUUAUGAGCUUCGUACUUUAAAAUGUAUUGUGUUUAAGGAAAGACAAGGAUAAUUUUUGAAGACUAGCUAUUUAUUUGUUUUAAAAUGCCUUAUUAAUCGUUGUUCUUGUAUUAUUUUUGCAUAUUACAUAUAAUUACAUACAAAAAAGGAAAUAAAAGUUAUAGUUUUACGCGGACCCGCAUAAGACCCUAGACCCUACCCAUACCCUGUCGGACCCAUAGGGUCCGGGUAAGGGUCUUAUAAUUUUAGACCCUAUAGGGUAAGGGUAGGGUAUGGGUAUAUGUCAAAAAAUUAGGGUCCGGGUCCGGGUAUUACUAGACCCUACCCGGACCCUACCCAUUGCCAUCCCUACUGCCAUGUCAUACACGGUACCUACUACAAUCGGUAAUUUUUUAAUGCAACUUGUUAAAAAUAAAUGGGUAUAAAAAUUUAACUUAAUCAGAUAUAAUUAAAAGUUAGACUUAUUAUUAAUAAAUAGGGCAAAGGUUGACUUAUUCCCAUCAAUUUUUCCUUUUUUUUAAUGUCCAGGGAUUUCGUUUGCUUUGUUGAUCGUCUUCGUGUCAAGGACCAUUGAACAAUAAGUGGUCCAAGCUGAACAAAACCAUUUUGAUGUUUCUACUGAACGACCCUCUGAGGUACAUGAAGCCAAUGCUGCAGAAUGAUGCAGGCUAGCUUCUGCCUACAACCUCCAGGAGAGACUCCAUCAAGGAGAUCAACUUUCGAUGGGAUAAUUCGGGAUGCAUACACGUUUUCUUCGAGGAUCAAUCUGCCAAAAAUCAGUUCCAAUGACUAAUUUAAAAUGUUUAUUACAAUGUAUUAUUAUUUACAUUUCUUACGUACUAAUUUAAAAUGAACUUAUAUUGCGAAAUUGACUUAUAGUAUGACGUUAAUAUUUUUUAAUAUGAACUUUGCGAAUAUUUUCUUGCCUAA